rnacentral:misc_RNA from 1 species
GAUGAAGAACGUAGCGAAAUGCGAUAAGUAAUGUGAAUUGCAGAGUUCAGUGAAUCAUCGAGUCUUUGAACGCACAUUGCGCCCCCUGGUAUUCCGGGGGGCAUGCCUGUCCGAGCGUCAUUGCUGCCCUCAAGCACGGCUUGUGUGUUGGGCCGUCGUCCCCCUCCUAGGGGACGGGCCCGAAAGGCAGCGGCGGCACCGCGUCCGGUCCUCGAGCGUAUGGGGCUUCGUCACCCGCUCCGUAGGCCCGGCCGGCGCUUGCCGACGACCAUCAAUCUCUUUCUCCAGGUUGACCUCGGAUCAGGUAGGGAUACCCGCUGAACUUAAGCAUAUCAAUAAGCGGAGGA